CGUAGGAAGCAAGCGUUGUCCGGAAUCACUGGGCGUAAAGCGCGUGUAGGCGGUACGGCAAGUCUGCUGUGAAAGCUCUCGGCUUAACCGGGAGAGGUCGGUGGAAACUGCCGCACUGGAGGACGGUAGAGGGGGGUGGAAUUCCCGGUGUAGUGGUGAAAUGCGUAGAGAUCGGGAGGAACACCUGUGGCGAAGGCGGCCCCCUGGGCCGGCCCUGACGCUGAGACGCGAAAGCGCGGGGAGCGAACGGGAUUAGAUACCCCGGUAGUCCGCGCAGUAAACGAUGUGUACUAGGUUUGGGGGGUAUCGAGCCCCUCCGAGCCGUAGCUAACGUGAUAAGUACACCGCCUGGGGAGUACGGCCGCAAGGUUA
rnacentral:rRNA from 1 species